CCUACGGGUGGCAGCAGUCGAGAAUCAUUCACAAUGGGGGAAACCCUGAUGGUGCGACGCCGCGUGGGGGAAUGAAGGUCUUCGGAUUGUAAACCCCUGUUAUGUGGGAGCAAAUUAAAAAGAUAGUACCACAAGAGGAAGAGACGGCUAACUCUGUGCCAGCAGCCGCGGUAAUACAGAGGGCUCAAGCGUUGUUCGGAAUCACUGGGCGUAAAGGGUGCGGAGGAUGUUUCGUAAGUCGUGUGUGAAAGGCGCGGGCUCAACCUGCGGACGGCAGAUGAUACUGCGAGGCUAGAGUUAGGGAGAGGGAAGCGGAAUGCGCGGUGUAGCAGUGAAAUGCGUAGAUAUCACGCAGAACACUGAUGGCGAAGGCAGGUUCCUGGACAUUAACUGACGCUGAGGCACGAAGGCCAGGGGAGCGAAAGGGAUUAGAUACCCCGGUAGUC
rnacentral:rRNA from 1 species